rnacentral:rRNA from 2 species
GGCGCAAAGAAUGAAUGGCUAGUGGUUAGGGGGUUUCCGCCCCUUGGUGCUGCAGCAAACGCAUUAAGCACUCCGCCUGGGGAGUACGGCCGCAAGGCUGAAACUCAAAGGAAUUGACGGGGGCCCGCACAAGCGGUGGAGCAUGUGGUUUAAUUCGAAGCAACGCGAAGAACCUUACCAGGUCUUGACAUCCCACUGACCGCUUUAGAGAUAAAGCUUACCCUUCGGGGACAUUGGUGACAGGUGGUGCGUGGUGUGUCCUCAGCUCGUGUCGUGAGAUGUUGGGUUAAGUCCCGCAACGAGCGCACCCCUUGAUCUUAUUUGCCAGCAUUGAGUUGGGCACUCUAAGGUGAGUGCCGGAGACAAACCAGAAGAAGGUGGGGAUGACGUCAAAUCAUCGUGCCCCUUAUGACGUGGGCUACACACGUGCUACUAUGGAUGGUACAAAGGGCCGCGAGACCGCGAGGUGGAGCGAAUCCCAUAAAACCAUUCUCAUUUCAGAUUGCACGCUGCAUCUCGUGUGCGUGAAGCCAGAAUCGCUAGUAAUCGUGUAUCAGCAUGCCGCGGAGAAUACGUUCCCGGGUCGUGUACACACCGCCCGUCACACCACGAGAGUUUGUAACACCCGAACUCUGUGGGGUAACCUUAUAGACCCAGCCCCCGAAUGUGGGACAUAAGAUUGGUGUGAACUCUCAGGGGUCCCCCCCAAAAAAUUUUUGGGGGGGG